GCCACAUUAGUGGAUGCUGGCGAGAUGACCAUCAAGGCUGAAGUAUGGCAACACUGUGCUGUUUGAGAGUAAACGGAGAGACAAGUUGCAAUUGAAAAUGUU